rfam:Arabidopsis thaliana chromosome 3, complete sequence.
AAAGUAGUGUGCAGCCAAGGAUGACUUGCCGAUUUAAAUGAUCUUUCUUUAUACUCUAUUAAGACAAUUUAGUUUCAAACUUUUUUUUUUUUUUUUUUUUGAAGGAUUCAGGAAGAAAUUAGGAUAUAUUAUUCCGUAUAAAAUACAAGAUAUAUAAAACCAAAAAGAAAAAGUAACAUGAUCGGCAAGUUGUCCUUGGCUACACGUUACUUUGU